rnacentral:rRNA from 1 species
AGGGUUUGAUUAUGGCUCAGGAUGAACGCUAGCUACAGGCUUAACACAUGCAAGUCGAGGGGCAUCGGGGGAGAGCUUCGGCUUUCCCGCCGGCGACCGGCGCACGGGUGAGUAACGCGUAUCCAACCUGCCCAUGGCUGGGGGAUAACCUUGCGAAAGCAAGCCUAAUACCCCAUGGUCUCCUUCCGGGGCAUCCCGGCGGGAGUAAAGGAGCGAUCCGGCGAUGGAUGGGGAUGCGUCCGAUUAGCUUGCCGGUGGGGUGACGGCCCACCGGGGCGACGAUCGGUAGGGGUUCUGAGAGGAAGGUCCCCCACACUGGAACUGAGACACGGUCCAG